UCUCCCUUGGUUCUCUCUCCCUUCUCUCAGUUCUUUGUUUUUCCCUUCCUUCCUCUCCUAGGGUUAGAAUUUUUGGAUGGAAAAUUGAACCUUGAUCCAUGGGAAAGGAGGCACUUCCCUCCUAGUGCCCUCUGGGCGGUUGAAUUGAUUUGUUUCGCAUCUUGUACAUCUCGUUUUUGCUGGUAGUUUUUGGUUUCUUUUUGUUGGCGGUGCUGUGCAGGGGCGGCUCUGGUUUUGGCGCUGAUCCUUUGAGCAAGCAGCACUGCAGGGAGCAGGUGCUUGGCUUGGCCUGGUGCGGCACAGGUGAGCAGCGUCAGGUGGGGCGCCCGCCACGGCUGGCGAGGCAGUCCGGCGGCGCUAGCAGCAGCAUCCAGCAAGAAGGACGCGCGGCUCUGGAGCAGGCAGCAGGCGUGUUGCCUCUUGAUUUGUUUCUUUCUUGCAGGUCUGAGUCAUGCGUGCGUGGGAAAUUAGGAAGUUGAAAGGUGGCUUGUGAUUGAUAACCACAGGAGGCAAGUGUGACAAACGAAAAUGGAAAACAAAUGUCGUUUCUUCAUAUGCCCGCUCCUUCAAUGCGAACUACCCACAACAGAUCAUUGAACGUGGCGGCAUAGCCAAUGCCGUUUGCAAAUUGUGCUAAUGCAGAUAAGAAAUAAUUUUACACAUGGUGGCACAAUGCUCCUACGUUAAGGGUGCAUGGUAUCUCCUGGCGCUGCGGGCUUAUCUUUCACCAUACCGCAGAGCUCUACGCACCUGUCAAAUGUCCGAGACUGGUGGGAGCAUAGCAGAUCAUGAAGGCUGGUGGUCUUGAUUCUGUUCAACUUUUGCAAAUCCUCAUCUAUGCUACAUGGAACAUUUGGAAAGAACGUUGCCGGCGGAUGUUUGACAACAAAGCUCUACAUGUUGAUCUGUUGGUCAUGCUAAUUCCGCCAGACGCAUGCAUGCAAUCUCAGUUGACUAGUACUAGCACGAAACAAGCUCUACAAAUGUACAUGGGCGUUGUAAAUUUCAUUCCUGUUUUGUUUUCUUUUUAUUUUCUCUAUAUAAACAUUUGACCUUUUUCUCUUCCACCAUUAAUGCAACAGCAGAGCACCUGCUAUAUUUUUUAAAAAAA